rnacentral:rRNA from 1 species
GACGAACGCUGGCGGCGUGCCUAAUACAUGCAAGUCGAACGCACUCUCGUUUAGAUUGAAGGAGCUUGCUCCUGAUUGAUAAACAUUUGAGUGAGUGGCGGACGGGUGAGUAACACGUGGGUAACCUGCCCUAAAGUGGGGGAUAACAUUUGGAAACAGAUGCUAAUACCGCAUAAAACCUAACACCGCAUGGUGUAGGGUUGAAAGAUGGUUUCGGCUAUCACUUUAGGAUGGACCCGCGGUGCAUUAGUUAGUUGGUGAGGUAAAGGCUCACCAAGACCGUGAUGCAUAGCCGACCUGAGAGGGUAAUCGGCCACACUGGGACUGAGACACGGCCCAGACUCCUACGGGAGGCAGCAGUAGGGAAUCUUCCACAAUGGACGAAAGUCUGAUGGAGCAACGCCGCGUGAGUGAAGAAGGUUUUCGGAUCGUAAAACUCUGUUGUUGGAGAAGAAUGUAUCUGAUAGUAACUGAUCAGGUAGUGACGGUAUCCAACCAGAAAGCCACGGCUAACUACGUGCCAGCAGCCGCGGUAAUACGUAGGUGGCAAGCGUUGUCCGGAUUUAUUGGGCGUAAAGCGAGCGCAGGCGGUUUCUUAAGUCUGAUGUGAAAGCCUUCGGCUCAACCGAAGAAGUGCAUCGGAAACUGGGAAACUUGAGUGCAGAAGAGGACAGUGGAACUCCAUGUGUAGCGGUGAAAUGCGUAGAUAUAUGGAAGAACACCAGUGGCGAAGGCGGCUGUCUGGUCUGUAACUGACGCUGAGGCUCGAAAGCAUGGGUAGCAAACAGGAUUAGAUACCCUGGUAGUCCAUGCCGUAAACGAUGAGUGCUAGGUGUUGGAGGGUUUCCGCCCUUCAGUGCCGCAGCUAACGCAUUAAGCACUCCGCCUGGGGAGUACGACCGCAAGGUUGAAACUCAAAGGAAUUGACGGGGGCCCGCACAAGCGGUGGAGCAUGUGGUUUAAUUCGAAGCAACGCGAAGAACCUUACCAGGUCUUGACAUCCUUUGACCACUCUAGAGAUAGAGCUUUCCCUUCGGGGACAAAGUGACAGGUGGUGCAUGGUUGUCGUCAGCUCGUGUCGUGAGAUGUUGGGUUAAGUCCCGCAACGAGCGCAACCCUUAUUACUAGUUGCCAUCAUUAAGUUGGGCACUCUAGUGAGACUGCCGGUGAUAAACCGGAGGAAGGUGGGGAUGACGUCAAAUCAUCAUGCCCCUUAUGACCUGGGCUACACACGUGCUACAAUGGAUGGUACAACGAGUCGCCAACCCGAAAGGGUGCGCUAAUCUCUUAAAACCAUUCUCAGUUCGGAUUGCAGGCUGCAACUCGCCUGCAUGAAGUCGGAAUAGCUAGUAAUCGCGGAUCAGCACGCCGCGGUGAAU